rnacentral:snRNA from 1 species
AGCUUUGUGCAGUGGCAGUAUCGUAGCCAAUGAGGUUUAUCUGAGGCGCGAUUACUGCUAACUGAAAACUUUUCCCAAUACCCCGCCAUGACGACUUGAAAUAUAGUCGGCAUUGGCAAUUUUUGACAGUCUCUACGGCGA